AUCCAACUGACGAGUCCCAAAUAGGACGAAACGCUCGUCCUGAAU
rnacentral:hammerhead_ribozyme from 1 species